rnacentral:rRNA from 1 species
UGCCUAAUACAUGCAAGUCGAGCGAACUGAUUAGAAGCUUGCUUCUAUGACGUUAGCGGCGGACGGGUGAGUAACACGUGGGCAACCUGCCUGUAAGACUGGGAUAACUUCGGGAAACCGAAGCUAAUACCGGAUAGGAUCUUCUCCUUCAUGGGAGAUGAUUGAAAGAUGGUUUCGGCUAUCACUUACAGAUGGGCCCGCGGUGCAUUAGCUAGUUGGUGAGGUAACGGCUCACCAAGGCAACGAUGCAUAGCCGACCUGAGAGGGUGAUCGGCCACACUGGGACUGAGACACGGCCCAGACUCCUACGGGAGGCAGCAGUAGGGAAUCUUCCGCAAUGGACGAAAGUCUGACGGAGCAACGCCGCGUGAGUGAUGAAGGCUUUCGGGUCGUAAAACUCUGUUGUUAGGGAAGAACAAGUACAAGAGUAACUGCUCGUACCUUGACGGUACCUAACCAGAAAGCCACGGCUAACUACGUGCCAGCA